CCCAGCGGUUGCCCCUUCAGGUCCACCGGACCCAUCUGCGUCCAGACCAUUUUGACGUGCCUUAGGUCCUUUUUCGGUGACUACUGGUCUCAAUGAUUACUUUAAGAAUAACAUCACCUUGGAAGCCAUAGUCUAUCUUUCUUGCUUAGUAUUUGCGAUUUGGCAGGUUUAUUCUUUUUUUAUUGCUGGCUUCUUUCCUUGUUCUUGGAAGUUUUGCCCGAUUGUAGUUACUUAGCGGCUUAAUUCUCGUCAUUUUUUUGGCAUGUUUGUAUAUGAUUAUUAGUUGCUACUUCGCCUGUCGUAGUUGCAUGUUUGAAUUUGUUCAUAUAGUUGGUAAUUACUUAGCUAUUCGUAUGUGUUUAUAUUAUUUGGAUGCUUGUUAUAAAAUCAAGUGCCCUUGUUUAAGUUCUGCUCUUGCCUGCUUUAUUGACUGCCUAUCGUUUUUCCUGAUUAGGGCCUAGUUAUAUUCAUAUAUUUUUAUCAUGUCAUGCUUGUUUGUUUUCUUCCCUAUCUUUGGUGUUUUUAGCUAUUUUGUGAAGUAUUUUGAACCACUACUAUGGGUUGUAUAUGAACCUCCUUUUGUUAAUCUAGUAUGCUUUGGUUCUGGUUAGUUUAUGCAAGUUGUGAACUAGGUAUUGUAUUUCUCAUGGCAAUUAGGUGUUGUAUUUCUCAUGGCAGUUAGAUUUGAUGUUAUGGCAAUGAAACAUCUCAAUUAGGUGUUGUAUUUCUCUUAGUUGCUUUUGUUAAUUUAGUACAAUUUAAUGUAAGAACCUUGCUGUCUAAUUUUUUGGCAGAAACUAUAACACAUUUGAUAACUGAUAAGUUCAUCUUACACAUUGAAAAUUUCAACUACAAUGAGUAGGCAACGUUGGCCAUAAAUCAUAAACAAUAUUGCAGUAAAAUAAAUGCGAAAUACAUUCUCAUAUAUAUAUAUACCAUACACCUAAAUAAUAGAAGAUUCCCUCAAAAAUCAAGUCACAAUUACAAUAACAAGCGGCCAAACCAAAAUCUUCUGUUUCUUCAUCAACUUCAACUUUUCUUCUUCAUGAUUUGUACCCUGUUUAAUAAUCCACACGACUUUGGUAUAGUGUUCGGACAAUUCAACAUCAUACCAACAAAAAAAAUUGCAUCCGUCAUCGCCUGCUUUCUCAAAUCUACAGCAAUAGAAUUACCUGGAUUAAAUGGUGACCAUGAAAGUUUUAAAGGAGCAAUUUGGCCAUAGUUACAAUUAACAACAGGUUACAUUGAUAUAGAAGAGGUGGAGAAGAAAAUCGCUACUUUGCUGAAGAGGAAAAAGAUACGCGGCUGGGUAUACUAAUUUGAGGUUGGUUUUGGAUAUUUAAAUUAGGGAGUUCAUUAAGGGUUUUUUGGGAAUUUCAUAGAAUUAUUAUAUUACCGUUAGUUAAUGCCUAGUUUUUAAAGACGUGAAGUCCUUGGUUGAAAAAUGUCUCAAUUGAAGUAUUCAAUUGACCGUUGUAGACAAUUUAAAGGGGC
rnacentral:lncRNA from 1 species